CCCUUAGAUGUUCUGGGCCGCACGCGCGCUACACUGACGAAUGCAACGAGCUUAUAACCUUGGCCGAAAGGUCUGGGUAAUCUCCAAAUUUCGUCGUGAUGGGGAUAGAUUAUUGCAAUUAUUAAUCUUCAACGAGGAAUGCCUAGUAAGCGCAAGUCAUCAGCUUGCGUUGAUUACGUCCCUGCCCUUUGUACACACCGCCCGUCGUUCCUACCGAUUGAAUGGUCCGGUGAAGCGUUCGGACCGUGGCCUUUGGACGGUUCGCCGUCUGUUGGCUGCGGGAAGUUCGUUAAACCUUAUCAUUUAGAGGAAGGAGAANUCGUAACA
rnacentral:rRNA from 1 species